UACAGAGGUCUCAAGCGUUGUUCGGAUUCAUUGGGCGUAAAGGGUGCGCAGGCGGCGAGGCAAGUCGGACGUGAAAUCCCGGGCUUAACCCCGGAACUGCGUUCGAUACUGCCUUGCUCGAGGACUGGAGAGGAGACUGGAAUUCCUGGUGUAGCAGUGAAAUGCGUAGAUAUCAGGAGGAACGCCAAUGGCGAAGGCAAGUCUCUGGACAGUUCCUGACGCUCAUGCACGAAGCCAGGGAGCAAACGGG
rnacentral:rRNA from 1 species